GAUGAACGCUGGCGGCGUGCCUAAUACAUGCAAGUCGAGCGGUAAGGCUCUGCACUUAGUAUUUGAUUGCGACAGCUUUGGUUGUUACAGCGAUCCAACUCAAUCCUAGGCUAGGAGAGAUGAGGAAAGGGAAAAUCGAAUAAUAAGUGUAGAGUACACGAGCGGCGGACGGCUGAGUAACACGUAGGAACGUACCCAAACUGAGGGAUAACUGCUCGAAAGAGAGCUAAUACCGCAUAUGCUCUAAGGAGUAAAAGCUUCGGCGGUUUGGGAACGGCCUGCGUCCGAUUAGCUAGUUGGCGGGGUAAAUGCCCACCAAGGCGACGAUCGGUAGCUGGUCUGAGAGGAUGAUCAGCCAGACUGGGAC
rnacentral:rRNA from 1 species